rnacentral:rRNA from 1 species
AGUGAACGCUGGCGGUAGGCCUAACACAUGCCAGUCGAACGGCAGCACAGUAAGAGCUUGCUCUUACGGGUGGCGAGUGGCGGACGGGUGAGGAAUACAUCGGAAUCUACUUUUUCGUGGGGGAUAACGUAGGGAAACUUACGCUAAUACCGCAUACGACCUACGGGUGAAAGCAGGGGAUCUUCGGACCUUGCGCGAUUGAAUGAGCCGAUGUCGGAUUAGCUAGUUGGCGGGGUAAAGGCCCACCAAGGCGACGAUCCGUAGCUGGUCUGAGAGGAUGAUCAGCCACACUGGAACUGAGACACGGUCCAGACUCCUACGGGAGGCAGCAGUGGGGAAUAUUGGACAUUGGGCGCAAGCCUGAUCCAGCCAUACCGCGUGAGUGAAGAAGGCCUUCGGGUUGUAAAGCCCUUUUGUUGGGAAAGAAAAGCAGCAGGUUAAUACCCGGCUGUUCUGACGGUACCCAAAGAAUAAGCACCGGCUAACUUCGUG